AUUGUAAUCAUGGGCUACUGGAUUUCCAGUCUCCCAUAAGGGAUUAGCCCAGGUUAAAGCCUUACCCGUUAAUUGGUUAAUUUUCGAUCUAUCUGUAGGGAAUGAACCAGGGGAAGCUUCGAAGUGGUAUUCAAUUUGGUUUAAAAAACCUCUAAAUUCCUUAGAAUCGCCUCCAAAACGAGAUGGAGGUGAAAGGGUUAU